rnacentral:rRNA from 1 species
CCUACGGGUGGCAGCAGUGGGGAAUAUUGCACAAUGGGGGAAACCCUGAUGCAGCGACGCCGCGUGAGUGAAGAAGUAUUUCGGUACGUAAAGCUCUAUCAGCAGGGAAGAAAAUGACGGUACCUGCCUAAGACGCCCCGGCUAACUACGUGCCAGCAGCCGCGGUAAUACGUAGGGGGCAAGCGUUAUCCGGAUUUACUGGGUGUAAAGGGAGCGUAGACGGCUAAUCAAGUCAGAAGUGAAAACCCAGGGCUCAACCUUGGGACUGCUUUUGAAACUGAGUAGCUAGAGUGCAGGAGAGGUAAGCGGAAUUCCUAGUGUAGCGGUGAAAUGCGUAGAUAUUAGGAGGAACACCAGUGGCGAAGGCGGCUUACUGGACUGUAACUGACGUUGAGGCUCGAAAGCGUGGGGAGCAAACAGGAUUAGAUACCCCGGUAGUC